GUACAUGUGGCUCAGUUGGUAGAGCAUGGUGUUUGCAACGCUAGGGUUGUGGGUUCGAUUCCCACGGGGGACC
rnacentral:tRNA from 1 species